rnacentral:lncRNA from 1 species
AUGCAAGAAGGGCCCAAUCGGGGACUGCGCCCAGCUCCGGCUGCACGCGGCGGCCGGCAGCCUUACCAGGCUGCAGGACGCAGCGAUCCGCGGUCACCUUCGCGCCCCCUCCGCGGCACUGACGCCCGGCACGCGCUCCGGAUCUGUUUACCAACUCCCCCGCGCGGAGACCCAGGCCGCGGCCCCGCCCCCCGGGCCGCUCCCAUUGGCUGCGCCGCCGUCGCCGGCCGCACGCCGCGCGGCGCGGGAGAGCGUGUUCUGCCCGUGCGCUCGGCAGGCAGCCAAUCAGGGCUGAGAGCGGAGCGAGAGGAGCCAAUGGGAGGCCGUCCCAGCGCGGAGAGCCCCUCCCGUUCCCCCUUCCUGCUGCCCUUUCGCUUAGUUGGGAAGCGGGGGCUGGAGGCCGGACUGUGGCGUUGGUGGCCCGCUGCGCGUGCGCCCCAAGAGCGGGCCCUACCCCGCGGCCAGGCGGCGGCAGGCCUGUUGCCCGGCAGAUCUCGGACCGGGUUUGGAGCGGAGGCCGUGGAAGGAGCCCACGGGCUUAAGGAGGGGGCGGCGGCGGCGAGGACCGGGCGAGGCCGCCGUGGGCCCCGCCUUCUGGAACGACGGCCCCUCUCCUGGUUUCCCCAAAAGGCGCUCGCCGAAGGAGCGCGCGGCGGCCCGGCCGACUGCACGUCCCGGGCCUCGGUGGCGCCGUCCGCGAACAGGAAGCCCGCGGGGCCCGUGGCUCGGAGCCCGUGCCGCCCGCGCCCCAGGUCGGCGCGCCGAGGAGGUGGCCCCCGCGACCCCGCGCCGUUGUCCCCGCCCUGGCUCUCCCCGCGGAGGUCUGGCCCUCCUCCGAGUCGCCGGGGACCGGCCCCCACGUGCAAGGAGCAGAACCGGGGGUCAGCGGCCGGCUCCUGUGUGGGAGGCGAGCUAACGCGGAGAACCGCCCCGCCAGGAGCCGCCUCCGGCCCCAAGUCGCUGCUGUCGUUAACCGGAGAAUUCAGACCUGAGCCGAGGGCUGGUGACAAGUCACACUAG